rnacentral:rRNA from 1 species
GCUUAGAAGCAGCCACCAUUUAAAKAGUGCGUAAUAGCUCACUGGUCGAGUGACUCUGCGCCGAAAAUGUACCGGGGCUAAACGUAUCACCGAAGCUGUGGAUUGACAUCUWWGAUGUCAGUGGUAGGAGAGCGUUCUAAGGGCGUUGAAGCUAGACCGUAAGGACUGGUGGAGCGCUUAGAAGUGAGAAUGCCGGUAUGAGUAGCGAAAGAUGAGUGAGAAUCUCAUCCACCGAAUGCCUAAGGUUUCCUGAGGAAGGCUCGUCCGCUCAGGGUUAGUCGGGACCUAAGCCGAGGCUGAAAAGCGUAGGCGAUGGACAACAGGUUGAUAUUCCUGUACCACCUUUAAAUCGUUUGAGCAAUGGGGGGACGCAGGAGGAUAGGGUAAGCGUGCUGUUGGAUUAGCACGUCCAAGCAGUUAGGCUGGUAAUGAGGCAAAUCCCAUUACCACAUAAGCGGAGCUGUGACGGCGAGGGAAAUAUAGUACCGAAGUUCYUGAUUCCACACUGCCAAGAAAAGCCUCUAGYGAGAUUUAGGGUGCCCGUACCGCAAACCGACACAGGUAGGCGAGGAGAGAAUCCUAAGGUGAGCGAGAGAACUCUCGUUAAGGAACUCGGCAAAAUGACCCCGUAACUUCGGGAGAAGGGGUGCUCUUGCGGGUGCAAGCCUGCGAGAGCCGCAGUGAAUAGGCCCAGGCGACUGUUUAGCAAAAACACAGGUCUCUGCGAAGCCGCAAGGCGAAGUAUAGGGGCUGACACCUGCCCGGUGCUGGAAGGUUAAGAGGAGGGGUUAGCACGUUAGUGCGAAGCUCUGAAUUGAAGCCCCAGUAAACGGCGGCCGUAACUAUAACGGUCCUAAGGUAGCGAAAUUCCUUGUCGGGUAAGUUCCGACCCGCACGAAAGGUGUAACGAUCUGGGCACUGUCUCAACGAGAGACUCGGUGAAAUUAUAGUACCUGUGAAGAUGCAGGUUACCCGCGACAGGACGGAAAGACCCCGUGGAGCUUUACUGCAGCCUGAUAUUGAAUUUUGGUACAGCUUGUACAGGAUAGGUAGGAGCCUUGGAAGCCGGAGCGCYAGCUUCGGUGGAGGCAUUGGUGGGAUACUACCCUGGCUGUAUUGACAUUCUAACCCGCACCCCUGAUCGGGGUGGGAGAC